CGUAUUAGCCAGAGGUCCCUUUACUACGUUUCGGAGCCGCGGACCUUCAGUAACAUGUCAUCAUCAAAAGCGACAAAGGAUCUUCCAACGUUGAUCAGCAGGGACUUCCUGCAGAUGAUUCCACUUUCAAAACAGUCGACGUUCUCAGCUGUGACACUGAGCAUCACAUCAGCACUGCUCUGUGGAGACAGGGGCAUGCGGCGGGCUCAAAGCACUCAUCUCCAUGUUUCAGCAGCCUGUGGGAAACACCCCAACUGUUAAAGGACAAACACUUUUAAAGCUCUGUAUUCACUGAGUUUAUGUAGAAUUGAGACCAAUGGAUUCUGUAUGCUGGGGCUGAAAAGUAAAGCCAGUGUUAAAGCGCCUUAAAUCAGCAUUUUUUUCUAAUAGCCAGCAGGGAUCAAAAGGACACUUGGAUGUCUAGCACUUUACUCAUCACUCUGCUCACUGCUGCACUCCUAAAAGACAUGUACAGAGGCAAGACCUCCCUGUUUUGUACUUCAUUGUGCAUAGAUCCAUAAAAUAAGAAGAGCUAUAUUUCAAAGUGUGAUAUAGUUACUUAGAACUGAGAACUAUGCAGCAUAGAGCAGAUGUUAGCACAGGAAAACAGUUUGAAACACAUAUCUUUAUGUUAUAAACAUGCUCAUUAGAGUCAACAAGGAGACUAAAUGUGGGUAUGCUUCAUUGUGUGAUUAGCAAGUCAUUCUUAGUCACACCUGCCCCUUGAUAAUCUUAUUCUUAUUCAAAACACCAAGACAGACUAUAAAGAUGUUGAGAUUUUACAACAAGACUAGUGUGAAUCUAUAUCCUUUUUAAUACAAAGUCUCCAUAAAAACUGUAACACAUGACAUCUUGAAAGCAUCUUGAAUUACUGUGGCGCAGAGCUUUGGACUUGCCUUCAUCACCACUGCCACUGAAAAUGUAUCUGAAAUGUUUACAUGUGAAGCAGUUUAUUUAAAUGUGAGACCAUCUUUCCAAAAGCUUAAAAUGUACUAAAACUGGGUCAUGCAAAAAGUACAAUGAUCACAAACACAGCAUCAAAUCUACAACAGAAUGGCUGAAAAGAGUCAAAGUCAUAAAUGUACAUAAAUUAAUACCUGCAAAGCCCAAUAAACUGAAGUGACAUUAUUUUAUUUUUUUAAGUGGUUUUAAAAAAAAAAGUGCAUAUAUCUGAUCUUUUAUGUAUACUUUUGACCCUUUGUGGAUUAGAAAAAAAUUCCAAAGUAAAUUCAAACUUCUGUACCCAGGUCUUGCUUUUUAAAGAAGUAUGCUGUGAUGUAUUGUGCCCUGAAAAUCAAACAGAUAAUCAUUAGAAGCCUAAAAUUACCAUGAUAUUUACGGAUAGGAAAGGUGCUUGCCAAGACUAAGCUGGGUUUAAGGACCCAGAGUGAAAGCUGAGUGAAUACCGAACUGAGUAGGCAGACCCUUAACUUUAACAGGUAAAAAGCAGAUGAGGAGUGAGGCUGCAGCCUCCCUUUCUACCUGUUCAUCUUUCUAAAGUAGAAUCAUUGUGGCGAUCGCUCACUUGUGUUGGUUUUUUUUUUUUUGCUUUUUGCGGUCAGCGUUGUAUUCUACUAUGAGAAAGAUCUUAGUGUGUGUCCUCAUUAAGGAUUUGUGUUGGUGUGUAGCCUCAGGUUUAUGUUGCUAAAUGGUGAUUAUGAAACAGUUUCUUUCAGCUGUUUACAGAGUAACAUGAAAGUAAUCUAACAAGUAGUGUAACAAAUUGCUUUUUCCCAGGAGUAAUUAAGUAACAUACUGCAAGUAAUGCAGUAAUAUAAUAACAAUAAUAAUGAUAAUAAUAAUAAUAAUAAU